ensembl:snRNA
AAAAAGGGCUUCUGUCGUGAGUGGCACACGUAGGGCGGCUCUGUUUGCUCUUCGUGCGGAAUCGACAUCAAGAGAUUUCGGAAGCAUAAUUUUUUGAUACUGAGGCAGCUGGUGAUCGUUGGUCCUGGCGCCCGU